rnacentral:rRNA from 1 species
UACGUAGGGUGCGAGCGUUGUUCGGAAUUAUUGGGCGUAAAGAGCUCGUAGGCGGUUUGUUGCGUCGGCCGUGAAAACCUGCAGCUUAACUGUGGGCCUGCGGCCGAUACGGGCAGACUUGAGUUCGGUAGGGGAGACUGGAAUUCCUGGUGUAGCGGUGAAAUGCGCAGAUAUCAGGAGGAACACCGGUGGCGAAGGCGGGUCUCUGGGCCGAUACUGACGCUGAGGAGCGAAAGCCAGGGGAGCAAACGGG